ensembl:snRNA U6 U6 spliceosomal RNA
GUGCUCGCUUCGGCAGCACAUACACAAAAAUUGGAAUGAUAGAGAAGAUUAGUAUGGCCCCUGCGCAAGGAUGACACACAAAUUCAUGAAGCGUUCCAUAUUUUU